GAGUUUAGAGAGAAGUGGGCAGGCAGCUUCAGGCCCCACGUUGGUGUUGGCCUGGGCACCUGUUGGAUCAACACAAUAGCUGCAGCCUGGAGUUCCUGGAAGCUGCCUUCCGCUCAGCUAGGCCUGCUGUGGACGGAGCCCGUGCCAGCUACAUGUGCCAGGGAAGCCACAGCUUGGCUGGUAAGCAAUGCAAUUCUGGGAAAGUGCAGGCUCUCUGUGUUCUUUCCUCUCUUGCAAACCAUGGGCACCCUUGGGUCCCUUGGGGGUCACUAUGUUACACCUGCUUUUUAUCUCUCUAGGCAGGAGCUGCUCAAGCCACAUCUUACGACACUGAGGAGGACAGCACAUGGCACUCUCACCUCUUUUGCAGUUAAGUGUGAAAUAGUGCCAAUAGAGUGUGAAAGAAAAGAAAGAAGAUGAUUCACCUCCCAAAGAAGGCGAUUCCCCACUGCUGUGUCCCUUCUAUCAACUUGACUCAAAAAACCAAAAUGGACCCGGGAACCAUGUGUUGAAGAUAGGAGAGCUCCAAAAGAGACUGGAGCCCUGAGUCACCACCUGGAGGAAAAAUACCCACCCAUCAGGAAUUUAUACUAUACAAUUGGAAGUUUUUGGGUUACAGCAGCUACUUUAAUUAAAACACCCAGAGACAAGAGUCAUUAUUGCACAAAUUGGUUGCCUUUUUGUAUGUUUGGGUCCUCUCUGUUCGAUGAGACUGCACGUUCCUUUGAAACACAUCUAUUUAAAAUUCUUAUAUCCCCAGAGAGCCUAGCAGAGAGUAUGCACAGAGUGAGCCUUCAGUAAAUGUUGAGUAAAUAAGCUCCUAAAGGAUGAAACUGGGUCUUUGAAGUUUGUUCUGACCAGUACUUAGUAUAGGAUUUUGUGCUAUUGGUCACUUUUCACAAAGGUUCUUGCUAUUAAGGAACUUGAUAUCCAAUGUACUCACAGAGAGUAGAAAUUCAGGGGAAACAAAUAGAAGAGAUAUGUCCAAAAAUCCAUUUAACAUUUCAUUGACAGAUAUUUAUCUCUUUAAUCCUGGAAGUUGUUGCAUGUAAGGGAAGGUUCAGUAGAACGAAAACAGGACUGCAAGCUGGGAGGAGAUUUGGGGUCUCUUGGCCAACUCUGCCACGUACCUUCAAUUUCCCUGCUGGUAAAAUGAAGUCAGUGGUCCCCAAAAUGAAAUUUGGACUAAUGACAAAUUAGCUAGCAUUUGAUUAUACAUCGAUAGGUUCCCCAUGUGAUUUUAAUGCACAAAUCAGAUUUGGGAACCAUUAGGUAGGUGAUCUUAUCCUAUGAGUCUAUCUUUUUCAACAUGGAAAAAUUAAUUUGUUUUGCUGACCGAAAGCUGUGUAACUUAGAACUGGAAAGAGACAUAGAAUCGAAUAACUCAUCUCUAUGGGGCAAAAAAAUUAAACACCUUUAGUUCGUCCACAGAUGAAAUGGAAAAAUAAACAUGUUUUAAGAUGAUUUGGUAGAGAAAAUAUUUUCUUUGCCAGGAUAUUAGAGAAUUUGUCAAGAGUUAUUAAACAGGAGAGUCAAAGGUUUCAUUGCAGGAACUUAAUAAAUAUUUGUUUAUUAGCUGAUUAAUGUGCUGAUCCAAGCAGAGAAGGAAUUCUGUCUUUGUUUUAAAGCCAGGAUUUCUAACUGCCCUUUCGGGAUAAAAAUGUGCUCUGUGUUCAGCUCAGCAACCUGAACUGUCUAUUCCAUUAUUCAGAUAAACACCAAAAGGGAUUUAAUGUAUCCUCUGGCAACCGAAGAUAAUACUCCCAGGUCAAGCUUUCUUCAGGCAGAUAUUAAUGGUUACUUUUAGUUAGUGAAAAAUAUUGCAUAAUUCAUGCGCUGUGCUUGACAAAGUUGAUCCAAACUCUGGGACCCUCAGGAAUUUCAGGCAGAAUUCCUUACUCUUUGAGGGUGUCUUCGUUCCCCACCCUGGGUGUUUAUCAUGCCUCUGAGUGAAACACAAUGAUGACAAUGGCAUAGCUUUUCAAAAAAAGAAAUGAUCCAGGGUCCUUUCUAAAGUGCAGCAAUCAGAACUAUUGAUUCUGAAAUUGAACCAUUUCCAGUGGUACCAAAGAAGUGGUAUAUUAUAGAAUUAGAAUAUGUCUUCUAUUCAGCACACUCCAAAUCACUCUCUAUACAAACGUAUUCAAAUGUAUUUUUAUUCAACAUAUUCAGAAUGUUCAUCCUUCAAAAAGUGCUUCCCCCAUUAGCCAGCCUCAUGCAAGUCAGUUGUUCCCACCUUUAUUCCACUGAUAUGGAGGUCAUUUGAAUGCUGUUUUCUCUGUUAAGAUGCUGUCGUUUGAACAAUACACUCACGUUUCAUGCAAAUUUGAAUUAUGCAAGUUUUUAAAAAUGCUAUGUAAAACAGCAAUAAAAUACUACUGGAGAUUGCUCAAUUUCAGAAUGGGCAACAUUUGAAAUAGUCCAAAUUCCUCCAAAUUUGCAUGAUUUAUCCAGAAUGGCAUAACAAAUCCAGAGCAUAGCCAGUGAAACUUACACUGUGUUUGGACCCUGGUCUGGUGGCUGUGCCACAGUUGUGGUAAACAGAAACCUCCACAGGGAGACCUCCACAGGCCUUGGUCAGUAUGACGGGGAGUCGUACAAUGAAUCAAAGCAGAUGUUUUCCUGAGGGAUUUUUGUGGCUAUAGUGCAGUUUAAAAAAAUUCAUUGUGUUAAUAAUUUAAUAUUUUUGAUAUCCUAUGAAAGUAUCACAUAAGCUUUUAUAAUAUAGUGGCACUGAAAACGUGCUGUAAAUUAUUAUACUCCAUUCAGUAUGACAGGGGAAUGGUUCCAGGACCCCCAGCACCUUCUACCCCAGGAUACCAACAUCUGCGAUGCACAACUAACUGAUAGAAAAUGGUCUAAGAUUUGCAUAGAACCUACCUACAUCUUCCUGUAUACUUUUUUUUUCUGUCUCCCAGGCUGGAGUGCAAUGGCACAAUCUCAGUUCACUGUAGCCUUUGCCUGCUAGGUUCAAGCAAUUUUCCUGUCUCAGCCUCCCGAGUAGCUGGGAUUACAGGCACACACUACCAUGCCCAGCUAUUUUUUUUUGUAUUUUUAGUAGAGACGGGUUUCACCAUGUUGACCAGACUCAUCUCAAACUCCUGACCUCAAAUGACCCACCCACCUCGGCCUCCCAAAAUGCUGGGGUUACAGGCGUGAGCCACCAUGCCCAGCCCCUUCCCAUAUACUUUAAAUCAACUCUAAAUUACUUACAAUAUCUAAUUCUAUAUUGAAUUACCUAGGAUUUAUAUUAAUCCUAAGUAAAUAGUCAUUAUACUGUUUGGCGUAGGGAAUAAUGGCAAGAAAAAGCCUGUACUUGUUCAGUACAGAUACAACCAUCUUUUUUGUUUGUUUGUUUUUUGAAUACUUUCCAUCCAUGGUUAGUUGAAUCUGAGAAUGUUGAACCCAUGGAUACUGAGGGCCAACUGUAGUAUGAAGUGACAUUAGAUGUGAUAGAUGAAGAAGGCCUGUCACUGGCCAUGAUCCACCUUGCCAUUAAUUUGGGAGAAAGACUCUGCAAAAUAAAAGAGAUUGUGCUAGGACGCAUUUUG
ensembl:lncRNA